rnacentral:rRNA from 1 species
GGUUGACCUCGGAUCAGGUAGGGAUACCCGCUGAACUUAAGCAUAUCAAUAAGCGGAGGAAAAGAAACCAACCGGGAUUGCCUCAGUAACGGCGAGUGAAGCGGCAAGAGCUCAAAUUUGAAAUCUGGCCCCUCCGGGGUCCGAGUUGUAAUUUGCAGAGGAUGCUUCGGGUGCGGCCCCCGUCUAAGUGCCCUGGAACGGGCCGUCAUAGAGGGUGAGAAUCCCGUCUGGGACGGGGUGUCCGCGUCCGUGUGAAGCUCCUUCGACGAGUCGAGUUGUUUGGGAAUGCAGCUCUAAAUGGGUGGUAAAUUUCAUCUAAAGCUAAAUACUGGCCGGAGACCGAUAGCGCACAAGUAGAGUGAUCGAAAGAUGAAAAGCACUUUGAAAAGAGAGUUAAAAAGCACGUGAAAUUGUUGAAAGGGAAGCGCUUGCGACCAGACUCGCUCGCGGGGUUCAGCCGGCAUUCGUGCCGGUGUACUUCCCCGCGGGCGGGCCAGCGUCGGUUUGGGCGGCCGGUCAAAGGCCCCCGGAAUGUAGUGCCCUUCGGGGCACCUUAUAGCCGGGGGUGCAAUGCGGCCAGCCCGGACCGAGGAACGCGCUUCGGCACGGACGCUGGCAUAAUGGUCGUAAACGACC